GCCGCGAACGGGGCAGGGAGGGAACGGGGCGGGGGGGGAGGAGAGCUGGGCCGCUGGGAAGGACCGGGGCCGGGCAGCGCCGCCGCCCCUCGGCUCGGCACGGCUCGGCAGGCACUCACCACGCAUUUCUUGCCGAGGAAGCUGAAGAGGCUCUCGUUCUCCUGCGGGUGAUGCCAGUUCAUAACAAGUAUGUUGGAAGUGACAUACUAAUAUCAAUAUAAACAAGUGUCAUGAUUUUACAGGUUUGUAAUAUAGAUGUAUUUAGUAAACAGAUUUUAUGAUCCUUGGCAGACUUAUCUUUUACAAAAAUUUUGUCACUCUGAAGUUUAUCUUUAAAUGUAGACUUUUACAAUUCUCAUUAAUUUUUUGCAAGCUGAAAAUUGAAUUCCAUAACUAGUCUAAAAUACACACUUUGAGUUUCAGAGCUUAAAUAUUAACCCAAUUUCAGGAAGAAUGUUCUGCAAUUGAAAAUGAAGUAAAAAAGGUAAGGAAGAGUUUCUGUUUCUUUCCCUAGAGCCACAAAUUGCAGUGUAUUUCAGAGUUGUUUUUUUUUUAAUUUCUGAAUUGUCUGAAUGCAGUCAGUUCUCCGAGGAUUUAUGUAUGGUUUGUUUGUUUGUUUGUUUGUUUUUGCAGCACUGUGUUUCUCAAAUCUUUAUUUUUUUCCUCAGGUCAUACAGUGUGGUACUCUUAUUCUCCAAAAGAUGAAGCGACAGUUUGAUUACACGUGAAGAACUUGAAGAUUAAAGGGAAAUGAAAUUUAAAAAUGAAAAAUAAAUCCUAACUAACUUCUAUCUUCAAUCUCAUAUUCAGUGGCAAGUGAAACAGUAUGAAACAGGCACAAACAUCACUGCAACAACCACAUAAACAUGGCUGGGGGAGAUCACAAUUGUGAAUGUAUAAUUAGUGUCACCACACUCAGGGAGCGUGUCAACAGGGUGGCAGAAGAACAGACCAAAAAAAAAAGGAAAGGCUCCUUUCCCUCAGCACGCUUUCUGGAUGGGCCUGUAGAAAUCACUAAUCCAUUUACUGCGAAACCACUUGUGGUCACCAAAAAAAGAGAAGUCGCAUUGUGGUUGAAAAUGGUGUUUGAACUGUGAAGAUACAAGUUCUCUUUUUCAAUAAGCCACAUUAUUUUUUUCUACGUACACCUCCCUUAAGAGAAUUGGGCUUAAAUUGUUACUGAAUCAGUGACAAAUAGCAUAUUAGCUAUUUUACUCAGAAGAUGUUCCUUCACUUCUACUGUCUAUAUACUGAACCAAGAAGCAUUCAGGAAUCCUAGCCUGCUCUGAAGGGAACUGGAUCAUCAGGUUACAGGUCGUUUCAGGUCCAGUCACUGUGUAUCAUUUUUCUCUGAGAUUUUAUAUCAUUUGUUUCAGGUGGGUAACAGCCUGGAAUAAAGAGGAUCUGAAUUCUA